UACGGGGGGGGGCAAGCGUUUGUUCGGAAUUACUGGGCGUAAAGGGCUCGUAGGCGGCCAACUAAGUCAGACGUGAAAUCCCUCGGCUUAACCGGGGAACUGCGUCUGAUACUGGAUGGCUUGAAUCCGGGAGAGGGAUGCGGAAUUCCAGGUGUAGCGGUGAAAUGCGUAGAUAUCUGGAGGAACACCGGUGGCGAAGGCGGCAUCCUGGACCGGCAUUGACGCUGAGGAGCGAAAGCGUGGGUAGCAAACAGG
rnacentral:rRNA from 1 species